CAACAUCGUUAAUGCACUAAACAGUCACACCCAUUAAUUACCCACACUAGGAUUGAGCCACAAUCCUAGCUAAUGGGUUUAACUAGACAUAGUAGUAAUAGAAAUUAAAGAAAUAAUAGAUAAAAUUAACAUAAUAAUUAACUACAAUGAUAAUCUACUUGAAUCCACUUUAAAGCUAGAAGAAAUUUCCUAAAAUAGGCUAACAAUAUGACGUCUCGAACUCAUCACCAUUCUGAUAAAUCAAAACUUAACCUAAAAAAGUAAAAUAUUCUAUUUAUACUACACAGGAAAAGCCAGACCAAAAUACCCCUGAGGGUUAGGCACGAACCGCGUACAAAUGUCACGCGGCCGCGGAGGCAAUAAGUCUUCAAGUCUUGCUUCAGGAACUGGGGUAUGCAGACCGAACAAAUAUGUCACGCGUCCGCAUAGGCCGAGACACGCGAACCGCAUAGAAAUGGGGUGCGGCCGUGUAGUAGAUUUUGCCACAAACUCAACUCUCUGAACUUUUACCCACGCGGACCGUAGUGAUUUGGUGUGCGACCGCGUGGGCUUUUGCCUUUAUUUUCUGGGUCUCUGAACUUCCAUCAGUGCGCCGCGUGGCUUGUCAUACAAAUUGAAACAUCUCUGAACUUUCCUGCGCGGCCGCGUGGCAAAGCAGUGCAGACCACGCAGGGUGAACUUGAACUAGUCCAGCCUCUGAACUCUCCUGUGCGGCUGCGUACCAAAUCAGUGCGGUCUGCGAAGGUCAUCUAGUUCCCCUCUUCAGUUGUCUUUUGACACUUGGCAGAUUUCAAUCCUUUUUUAGCCGAUCUUUGAUAUUUAUCAUCUUUUCGCUCAAACCUGCAAUCAAGUGCAAUUUGUAAGCAUUUUAAGGCUAAUAUAUGGCAAUUAAUGCACAAAGCUCAUGUAAGAAUGUGUAUAAAACAUGUAGAAAUCACAGUUAUCAACUCCCCCAAACUUAAACCUUUUCUUGUCCUCAAGCAAAUAAAAUGAAACCUAUCCCUCAAUGGAAAAUACCCAAGUAAUUCCUGUUCAUCCUAAAGUAACCUCAACAAGCAUCAAUUGCGACUAACAAUUUCCCUCGAUACGAAUGCAUCAUUAACACAUUUAAAUCUUUGAAAACUUGUGGAUCAAGUAUGACACAAGAGCAUCAAGAGUUGACACAUCUCAUCAACGAAUCUUUUUCAAGUACUUUGGUCAUUGUUGAACCCAAACUCACACGUCCUCGACUUUUCCUAAGUGAACCUCACCUUUUAGAAUAUUUGCACACAAAUUGAGGUGAAUGGAUUCUCUCAUCUCUCACAAAGAAAAGGCCCUAAGUCCGGCUCGAAGUACCAUAUUGUCACACCUCCUUUUUUACCUUCACCCACGAGGGCCGUAAAGGAGUUUUUCCAAUUAAAGGAAAAUCGGAAGGGGAUUUGGUUAUUGAAAUUCAGAGUCGCCACUUAGGAGAUUAAUGGUGUCCCAAGUUACCGGAUAAGGAAUUUUGUUAAACCGGGAGAAGGUGUUAGGCAUUCCCGAGUUCCGUGGUUCUAGCACGGUCGUUCAACUGUUGUAUUUGAUUUUAUCUUAUUUUAGUACGUGCUAGCUUAUAUGUUUUUUAUUCGUAAAACGCUUUUUAUCAUUCUUUAUUUUAAAAGAAUUGCGAUGUCCUGAAAACGCGUUUCGAACCACGUCGCAAUCAAUGCACCCGUGGUUGUCAACACAUUUCGACUUCGUCGAGAUUUGGAUUUGGGUCGUAUCAAUGCGCACCCGAGUUUAAGAAAGGUAAUUUUAAUUACGCGCCUAAAGCAACUACGCCUUUUUAACUUUGCGAGGGCCAUGAAAAUUAGCUAAAUGGCACGCCUCGAGUUCUAAAUAGUUUAAAAAAAUAAUUAAUGAGUGCCACACAAUUUGAAAUUUUAUUUGACGCGACGCACCUUAAUAUAUUUUAAAAGGAUUUUACUUAACUAAAGUAAACUACGAAUAUUCAAAGAUUAUUAUUCUAGACCACUCAUCGAGAUUAGCAAGUAGAAUGAAUUAUAGACUAUCAAAUAUAAAGGAAAACAUCUCAGACUUCCAACAGAUUCGCCUGCAAGUAAUUUUGGCAAGCAUCAUAAUAUAAGGCAUUGUAAGGUGCCAUGCAUAUGACUAGUUUAUAAUUUAAAAAAUGAGAGCAUGUGGAAUGAAUUCUGCCCUUAAAUGAAAUUAGCAUAAUCAAUCAGUGACGUUGGAACUAACAGAAUGAGGCACUAAUCAUGCCUAACCUCAACUUGAAUGAAAUUCACAUUGUAUUAAGCUCAACUUAUAAAAUGCCAAAUGACACAUCAACCAACUUUCAAACUAGCAAUUACCAAUUUUCUUUUUCCUUUUCCAAGACAAACCAUUUUCGUACACACUAGGCUACAAACAAUGUAUAGUAUAUGAUAGCAUAAUCUUACAUUUGCAAUUACCAAAUGCUGCAAAACAUAAAUAAGAGAGAAUUGAAGUUACACUUUCAGAAAAAGUCAUAAAGGUCCUAACACAGUAAUCUGUGCUACACCAUUGAACUUGUGCGCACCCAUAAAACCCACAGAUCGAGCUACGCUACACCAUUGGACUUGUGUGCACCCAUAAAGACGCACAAAUUGAGUAUAUCAAAUAUACGUCAAUUACUGGCAUAUGCAAUGUAAUCAAAGAAAAAUCCAGCUAUCAGUGGCCUACAACUUGAAUCCAAUUUAUUAUAUGCAAGAAAACUUCCAAUCCUAACAUACAACAAUGAAAUAAUUCAACAAUGAAAUAAUUCUUCACGAUACUAUGUAAAAGCCAGCAAUAUGAAUGAAUCAAUGGUAUUGCAGUCCACAAUGCAACAGAUUAAAAGAGUUAAUUAGAAAAUGUAAAAGGACUGUGAAAUAAACCAUAAACUUGAUUAUCCAUUGAAACCAUAAAUACAGAGGAGUUCAGACUAACCUAUUUCACCAAGGAAGAUGUUAAUAUGAGCCAAAUAAGAGCAACAAAUCAGUUCGAAGAGCUUGGCAAAAUAGAUACAGCAGAUGCAACAGCAUAUGUCCGGCACAAACUUCAGAAUCCCAGAAAAUGAGAAGACGAGGCAGUAGCAACUUCAAACAAUUUUGCACUUGAUUUUUUGCUAGAGAUUUCUAUAUUCAAAUAUGCCGGCAUCCAUGUAUUUUCUUUUAUGCAUUCGAAACAAUCUCAAUUGCUUCACUAAACUAUGAAAAUUCCCCAAAAGAGUAAAAUAACGAAUUGAAAUUGAACCCAACUUUGUAACCUUGAAUUUCAGAUCUGAUCUCUGUAAUUUUAUGACCUUGCUACAGGCCUAAGCAUGUGUGUCUGCCCGUGAAGUGUAUGAGCAGGAUGUGUAUAUGAGAAUGGAGAAGUUCCGGAGCUGCUUGCAUUUUGGUUGGUUUUUGUUUUUUGAGCUGAUUUUGAGAUAGGGGCCGUUUUUUUUUUUUUUCCUUUUCUCUUUUUUUGAAGAAAGGUGGAUGAGUUUUAUAGAAGUGUGGAAUGGGUGUUAUGUGGGAGAGUUUUAUUUGGGAGAAGGUUUUAUG
rnacentral:lncRNA from 1 species